CCUACGGGAGGCUGCAGUGGGGAAUAUUGCACAAUGGGGGAAACCCUGAUGCAGCGAAGCCGCGUGAGUGAAGAAGUCUUUCGGUAUGUAAAGCUCUGUCAGCCGGGAAGAAAAUGACGGUACCUGACCAAGACGCCCCGGCUAACUACGUGCCAGCAGCCGCGGGCAUCCGUAGGGGGCAAGCGGUAUCCGGAUUUACUGGGGGGAAAGGGAGAGUAGACGGCAGGGCAGGGUUGGAGGGAAAGGGGGGGGCUCAACCCCCGGACUGCUCUGGAAACUGCCAGGCUGGAGUGCAGGAGAGGUAAGUGGAAUUCCUAGUGUAGCGGUGAAAUGCGUAGAUAUUAGGAGGAACCCCAGUGGCGAAGGCGGCUUACUGGACUGUAACUGACAUUGAUGCUCGAAAGUGUGGGUAUCAAACAGGAUUAGAUACCCCAGUAGUC
rnacentral:rRNA from 1 species